rnacentral:rRNA from 1 species
UACGUAGGGUGCGAGCGUUGUCCGGAAUUAUUGGGCGUAAGGAGCUCGUAGGCGGUCUGUCGCGUCGAUCGUGAAAACUUGGGGCUUAACCCUGAGCUUGCGGUCGAUACGGGCAUGACUGGAGUUCGGCAGGGGAGACUGGAAUUCCUGGUGUAGCGGUGAAAUGCGCAGAUAUCAGGAGGAACACCGGUGGCGAAGGCGGGUCUCUGGGCCGAUACUGACGCUGAGGAGCGAAAGCGUGGGGAGCGAACAGG